AUAUAUACAGACACACACAGUCAUGCACUACAUAAUGACCUUUCGCUCAAUGACGGACCGCACGUACUACAGUGGUCUCGUAAGGCUAGUA